rnacentral:tRNA from 1 species
GGGGUUGUGGCUCAGUGAUAGAGCACUCACCUGUCAUGAGUGAGGCACUGGGUUCGAUCCUCAGCACCACA